UGACCUAUACAAAAGGGUAUAGGUGUUGGAGAUUGUUGUCAAGAACUUUGCAAAGAUUUCUUUCGAUAUGUCUU
rnacentral:ncRNA from 1 species